CUCCCUCCCUCCCCCCUCGUCCCCUCCUUCUCUCCCUCUCUCCCUCCCUCCCGUCUCCUUCUCCCUCCAUUCCUCCCCCUCUUUUCUCGCUCCCCUCCCCUCUCUCCUCCACCUUACACUGUUCUCCUCCCCCUCGCAGACGCCCCUGCCGCCUCCCUGCAACCAGACAUCCUGGCCACAGCUCCAGGCCCACAAGCUUGCUGCUCCUGAGGAGUGGUGGGGGCAAGGGGUGGAGGAAGGGUUCUUUAAAGCAAAGCUCAAAGUUCACCUCCUUGGGAAAGCCCUCCUUGGUUUCUCCAGGCAGAGUGGUUGCACUUCUUGCGGCUCCUGCCACUCCCAGACAAGCCCUUGCCUCAGCGACCCCCGUUCCACCUGUUGGUUUGCCUCUUGCCUGUGAGCAGCUCCAGGACUGGACCUUGGCCAGGUCAUCUUUGCAGCCCCCCAGCACAGUGUCCAGCCACAGGAGCACUCAGGAAACACUGAUGGAGCGUGUGGGCAAGACCCUCGCAGUGGGUCAGGAACCUCCACUGCGCACCCAGAAAGAGAAGACUGAUGCAAAACUGCAGUGGACCUUAGGCAAGCCACUCGCCAAUCCCUUUGAGAUCUGAUAUCCUGUGAAGAAUAAGGACUCCUCUGGCAAAAUUUAUUCUAGAAGGCCAUUUCUUUUCCUCCUAUGCCCAAGAAAGUAAAAGGACUUCCAAGAGGCAGGACAACAUCUGCUCCCACCCCCAGCCUUUCCUCUUCCCCUUGCACUCAUUUUUGUUUUGUUUUGUUUUGUUUUAUUACUCUCACCUAAUGAGCCUUUUUAUUCUGCCUGCCAUCUUUCGGCUCCCAAUUACUCCAGCCCGAUGUGUAGGAAAAUGGCUUCGGAGAGGAGGGGCCUUGCACAAGGCCUGUGAAAGAUCUGCAGGAGUUUCACAUCCAUCAAGAUCCGUGCUCCCGGUAUCCCAGUCAAGUUGGGUGAAUUCUCCCCUGAAAUUCUUCCAUCACUCCUGAAGCAAAGAGGCAAGCCUUGAUGAAACAAAAGGAGCCCAAGUUUUGAGAUCAGACAGACUUGGGUUUGAAUCUCAACACUAUCCCUUCCUGGCUGUGUGACUUUGGAUAAGACCCGUGAACUCCCUGAACCUGAGCUGCAACCGUAAGCCAGAACACAUAUAAAGUGCUGAAUAAAUGGCAGCUGUCAGAAUUCUUAUUUAAUAUGUGCAUCCCAUUGGGUUGUACAUUUCUGCUGAUGCAUCAUUUUUUUCUGAGAUUCCCCAAGGCUGGACUGUGUCUUGUUCAACUUUGUCUUCGCAGUGCCCCUUGAUAAGUAUAAGAAUGCGCUAAGAGUUGGAAGCAUGAAUAAAUCAUCUUGUA
rnacentral:lncRNA from 10 species